UACGUAGGGGGCAAGCGUUGUCCGGAAUCAUUGGGCGUAAAGAGCGUGUAGGCGGUUUGAUAAGUCUGCUGUGAAAGUCCAGGGCUCAACCCUGGGAUGCCGGUGGAUACUGUCGGGCUAGAGUACGGAAGAGGCGAGUGGAAUUCCCGGUGUAGCGGUGAAAUGCGCAGAUAUCGGGAGGAACACCUAUUGCGAAGGCAGCUCGCUGGGACGUCACUGACGCUGAGACGCGAAAGCGUGGGGAGCAAACAGG
rnacentral:rRNA from 1 species